rnacentral:rRNA from 1 species
CGGCAGACGAGGUAGUAACACCUUGGUACGUACACCGAAGACGGAAAUAACUCCGGGAAACCGGAGCUAAUGUCCGAUAGUCUCGCGAGAGUAAACGUAGCAAUACGCUUCGGGAUCGGCCUAGGUCUGAUCAGCUAGUUGGUGAGGUAACGGCUCACCAAGGCUAUGACCAGUAGGGGAGCUGAGAGGCUGACCCCCACCGAGGGAACUGAGACACGGUCCCUACUCCUACGGGAGGCUGCAGUCGAGAAUAUUCGACAAUGGAGGAAACUCUGAUCGAGCGACGCCGCGUGCAGGAUGAAGGUCUUCGGAUUGUAAACUGCUUUUCAUGGGGAGAAAGAUAUAUCGCGUGCGGUAUAUUUGCUAGUACUCAUGGAAUAAGAAGCUGCAAACCUCGUGCCAGCAGCCGCGGUAAGACGAGGGCUUCGAGCGUUAUCCGGAUUUAUUGGGCGUAAAGAGUGAGUAGGAGGUCCUUGUGCGUCCUUCUGUUAAAUGUCUCCGCUUAACGGGGUCACCGCAGGGGAUACGGCAGGACUAGAGGGCACUAGAGGCUUGUGGAACAUAUGGUGUAGGGGUGAAAUCCGUUGAUAUCAUAUGGAACACCGAAGCGAAGGCAGCAAGCUGGGGUGCACCUGACUCUCAAUCACGAAAGCGUGGGGAGCAAAAAGGAUUAGAUACCCUUGUAGUCCACGCCCUAAACGAUGCAGACUUGGUGUUCCGAGUAUCGACCCUCGGAGUGCCGGAGCUAACGCGUUAAGUUUGCCGCCUGGGAAGUACGGCCGCAAGGCUAAAACUCAAAGGAAUAGACGGGGACUCGCACAAGCGGUGGAGCAUGUGGUUUAAUUCGAUAACAAGCGAGGAACCUUACCAGGGCUUGAAAUCCAGACGAAAUCCCGAUGAAAGUCGGGACCUCUCUCAAGGACGGCUGGACAGGUGCUGCAUGGUUGUCGUCAGCUCGUGUUUUGAAAUGUUCCCUUAAGUGGGGUAACGAGCGCAACCCCUAUUCGUAGUUAUAUAUGUCUACGAAGACUGCCCGUUUUUAGGGAGGAAGGUGGGGAUGACGUCAAAUCAGCAUGGCCCUCUGAUGCCCUGGGCUACACACAUGCUACAAUGGCCGGUACAACGGGUCGCCAAAGCGCAAGCUGGAGCUAAUCCCGAAAAACCGGCCCCAGUUCAGAUUGGGGGCUGCAACUCGACCCCAUGAAGUCGGAAUCGCUAGUAAUCGCGGAUCAGCUACGCCGCGGUGAAUACGUUCUCGAGUCUUGUACACACCGCCCGUCA